GACGAACGCUGGCGGCGUGCUUAACACAUGCAAGUCGAACGGUGAAGCGCCUUCCUUUUUGGUGGGUGUGGAUGAGUGGCGAACGGGUGAGUAGCACGUGAGUAACCUGCCCCCUUCUUCUGGAUAACCGCAUGAAAGUGUGGCUAAUACGGGAUAUUCUGGGUCUGUCGCAUGAUGGGUCUGGGAAAGAUAUUGUUUCGGUGGGGGAUGGGCUCGCGGCCUAUCAGCUUGUUGGUGGGGUGAUGGCCUACCAAGGCGGUGACGGGUAGCCGGCCUGAGAGGGUGGACUGUCACACUGGGACUGAGACACGGCCCAGACUCCUGCGGGAGGCAGCAGUGGGGAAUAUUGCACAAUGGGCGCAAGCCUGAUGCAGCGACGCCGCGUGAGGGAUGGAGGCCUUCGGGUUGUGAACCUCUUUCGCCAGUGAAGCAGGCCUGCCUCGUUUGUGGGUGGGUUGACGGUAGCUGGAUAAGAAGCGCCGGCUAACUACGUG
rnacentral:rRNA from 1 species